CAGAUCAGCUCACAGUGGUCGCUGCGUCCUUUUCUUCUUUGGUGUUCUUUGUGAUUGUCGUUGCGCUGCUGUCCAUCAUUUACCGCAAGGAUUCUCAGUGCUGCAAACACAGCUCCUAUCAGGAGCCACACGCAGAUACGGAUGCUCCUCAAUACUACAACAGCAGUCAGACCCUGGUGGGUUCUGCUUGUUUGGACCAAACUCAGAUCCUUGAACACA